rnacentral:rRNA from 1 species
AUUGAACGCUGGCGGCAGGCCUAACACAUGCAAGUCGAGCGGAGUGGCGAACGGGUGAGUAACACGUGGGUGACCUGCCCUGCACUUCGGGAAAAGCCUGGGAAACUGGGUCUAAUACCGGAUAGUGGGGGAUGGGCCCGCGGCCUAUCAGCUUGUUGGUGGGGUAAUGGCCUACCACGGCGGCGACGGGUAGCCGGCCUGAGAGGGGGGUAGGCCUCAUUGGGACUGAGAUACGAACCAGACAGCUACGGGGCGCAGCAGGGGGGAAUAUUGCACAAUGGGCGGAAGCCUGAGUCAGCGACGCCGCGUGGGGGAUGACGGCCUUCGGGUUGGAAACGCCUUUCACCAUCGACGCGGUAGAUGGAGAAGAAGCACCGGCUAACUACGUGCCAGCAGCCGCGGUAAUAC